UCGGGAAUUUUGGGCAAUGGGCGAAAGCCUGACCCAGCAACGCCGCGUGAAGGAUGAAGUAUUUCGGUAUGUAAACUUCGAAAGAAUAGGAAGAAUAAAUGACGGUACUAUUUAUAAGGUCCGGCUAACUACGUGCCAGCAGCCGCGGUAAUACGUAGGGACCAAGCGUUGUUCGGAUUUACUGGGCGUAAAGGGCGCGUAGGCGGUGUGUCAAGUCAGUUGUGAAAUCUCCGAGCUUAACUCGGAACGGUCAACUGAUACUGUCACACUAGAGUACAGAAGGGGCAAUCGGAAUUCUUGGUGUAGCGGUGAAAUGCGUAGAUAUAGGAAGGAACACCAGUGGCGAAGGCGACCACCUGGACUGAUACUGACACUGAGGUGCGAAAGCGUGGGGAGCAAACAGGAUUAGAUACCCAAGUAGUCCCUGAGCGGGCUGGCAAGGCGCAU
rnacentral:rRNA from 1 species